UACGUAGGGUGCAAGCGUUGUCCGGAAUUUAUUGGGCGUAAAGAGCUCGUAGGCGGUCUGUCACGUCGGCUGUGAAAACCCGAGGCUCAACCUCGGGCCUGCAGUCGAUACGGGCAGACUAGAGUUCGGUAGGGGAGACUGGAAUUCCUGGUGUAGCGGUGAAAUGCGCAGAUAUCAGGAGGAACACCGGUGGCGAAGGCGGGUCUCUGGGCCGGAAACUGACGCUGAGGAGCGAAAGCGUGGGGAGCGAACAGG
rnacentral:rRNA from 1 species